rnacentral:rRNA from 1 species
UUANACAUGCAAGUCGAGCGCGAANUCUCUUCGGAGAGAGUAGAGCGGCGCACGGGUGAGUAACACGUGAGUAAUCUGCCUUUCAGUCUGGGAUAACAGCACGAAAGAGCUGCUAAUACCGGAUAAGACUCCGCGACUGCGGUCGUGAAGGAAAAGGGUGGGACCUCUUCGGAGGCCAUCCGCUGGAAGAUGAGCUCGCGGCCCAUUAGGUAGUUGGCGGGGUAACGGCCCACCAAGCCCGCGAUGGGUAGCUGGUCUGAGAGGACGAUCAGCCACACUGGAACUGAGACACGGUCCAGACUCCUACGGGAGGCAGCAGUGAGGAAUCUUGCGCAAUGGGCGAAAGCCUGACGCAGCCAUGCCGCGUGAGCGAAGAAGGCCCUCGGGUCGUAAAGCUCUGUUGAGGAAGACGAACCGGUUGGGGUCCAAUAGGCCCCAACUCUGACGGUACUCCUUUAGAAAGCACCGGCUAACUCCGUGCCAGCAGCCGCGGUAAUACGGAGGGUGCAAGCGUUGUUCGGAAUUACUGGGCGUAAAGCGUGUGUAGGCGGUGUCUAUAAGUCGGGUGUGAAAGCCCUGGGCUCAACCCAGGAACUGCGCCCGAUACUGUAGCACUAGAGUCUGGGAGAGGGGUGUGGAAUUCCUGGUGUAGGGGUGAAAUCCGUAGAGAUCAGGAGGAACACUCGUGGCGAAGGCGACACCCUGGACCAUGACUGACGCUGAGACACGAAAGCGUGGGGAGCAAACAGGAUUAGAUACCCUGGNAGUCCACAGCUGUAAACGAUGGAUACUAGGUGUCGCGGGUAUUGACCCCUGCGGCGCCGUAAGUUAACGCGUUAAGUAUCCCGCCUGGGGAGUACGGNCCGCAAGGCUAAAACUCAAAGGAAUUGACGG